AACGCACCUUGCGCCUCUUGGUAUUCCGAGAGGCAUGCCUGUUUGAGUGUCAUGAAAAAUCAACCCCUCGGGUUUUCCGACCUGGGGUGGCUUGGAACUGGGCGCUGCCGCUUGACUGCCGGCUCGCCUCAAAGGUCUCAGUGGGAAGAUCGACCCAUGCCAGACGUGAUAAGUUUCGUCCGGCUACGUCGUGAAGCCUGCUCACAACCAACACUACUAUCUCUUGAUUGACCUCAAAUCAGGUAGGGCUACCCGCUGAACUUAA
rnacentral:misc_RNA from 1 species